rnacentral:rRNA from 1 species
UAUAGCCGUAAUGGUGUGGUGUUGGGUAGGGGAGCGUCGAGUUGCUGGUGAAGUCGCCGUGUGAACGAGUGGUGGAAGCGAUUCGAGUGAGAAUGCAGGCAUGAGUAGCGAAAGACGGGUGAGAAACCCGUCCACCGGAUGACCAAGGGUUCCAGGGCUAGGCUAAUCCGCCCUGGGUAAGUCGGGACCUAAGGCGAGGCCGACAGGCGUAGUCGAUGGACAACCAGUUGAUAUUCUGGUACCGACACACAACCGACAGUACCAAAACACAUGAGACUAACCCUGUGAUGACCCCGUCAGGCCUUCGGGCCUGUGGUUGGGUUUGAGUGGGGGACCUGAGUGUGGAGUCGGUAAGCGUGAGGUGUGACGCAGAAAGGUAGCCAGGCCGUGCGAUGGUAGUCACGGUCUAAGGUUGUAGCACGUGGGGGUAGGUAAAUCCGUCCCCGCAAGUGUGUGAGAGCUGAUGGGCGCCCCACAUUGGUGGGGUGAUCUGGUGAUCCUCUGCUGCCGAGAAAAGCAUCGACGUGAGGGUGUGUGUUGCCCGUACCCUAUAACCGACACAGGUGGUCGAGUAGAGAAUACUAAGGUGAUCGAGAGAAUCGUGGUUAAGGAACUCGGCAAAAUGCCCCCGUAACUUCGGGAGAAGGGGGACCAUCCCGGUGAACCAUCCUUGCGGUGGGAUGUGCUGGUGGUGGUCGCAGAGGCCAGAGAGAAGCGACUGUUUAUUAAAAACACAGGUCCGUGCGAAGAUGUAAGUCGAUGUAUACGGACUGACGCCUGCCCGGUGCUGGAAGGUUAAGAGGACCUGUUAACCCCGUUAGGGGUGAAGCGGAGAAUUUAAGCCCCAGUAAACGGCGGUGGUAACUAUAACCAUCCUAAGGUAGCGAAAUUCCUUGUCGGGUAAGUUCCGACCUGCACGAAUGGCGUAACGACUUCUCUGCUGUCUCAACCACGAACUCGGCGAAAUUGCAUUACGAGUAAAGAUGCUCGUUACGCGCAGCAGGACGGAAAGACCCCGAGACCUUCACUAUAGUUUGGUAUUGGGAUUCGGUGUGGUUUGUGUAGGAUAGGUGGAAGACUGGGAAGCCUCGACGCUAGUUGGGGUGGAGUCGAUCGGUGAAAUACCACUCUGACCAUAGUGGAUUCCUUAACUUCGGACCCUGAUCGGGUUCAGGGACAGUGCCUGAUGGGUAGUUUAACUGGGGCGGUUGCCUCCUAAAGAGUAACGGAGGCGCCCAAAGGUUCCCUCAGCCUGGUUGGCAAUCAGGUGUCGAGUGUAAGUGCACAAGGGAGCUUGACUGUGAGACGGACGUGUCGAGCAGGAGCGAAAGCUGGGACUAGUGACCCGGCCAUGGCUUGUGGAAGCGUGGUCGCUCAACGGAUAAAAGGUACCUCGGGGAUAACAGGCUGAUCUUGCCCAAGAGUCCAUAUCGACGGCAUGGUUUGGCACCUCGAUGUCGGCUCGUCGCAUCCUGGGGCUGGAGUCGGUCCCAAGGGUUGGGCUGUUCGCCCAUUAAAGCGGUACGCGAGCUGGGUUUAGAACGUCGUGAGACAGUUCGGUCCCUAUCCGCUGCGUGCGUAGGAAAUUUGUGGAGGUCUGUCCUUAGUACGAGAGGACCGGGACGGACGAACCUCUGGUGUGCCAGUUGUUCCGCCAGGAGCAUGGCUGGUUGGCUACGUUCGGGAUGGAUAACCGCUGAAAGCAUCUAAGCGGGAAGCCGGCUCCGAGAUGAGAUUUCCAACUGACGUUGAGUCAGGGGAGGUGUCCUAUAGAUGAUGGGGUUGAUAGGCCGGGUAUGGAAGCACAGCAAUGUGUGGAGUUGACUGGUACUAAUACACCGAUCACUCAUCAACCA